rnacentral:rRNA from 1 species
UUAAGCAUAUCAAUAAGCGGAGGAAAAGAAACCAACAGGGAUUGCCUUAGUAACGGCGAGUGAAGCGGCAACAGCCCAGAUUUGAAAUCUGACUUUCGGGUCCGACUUGUAAUCUGCAGAUGAGUCUUUUGGCGGAGCGCCGUCCAAGUUCCCUGGAACGGGACGCCGGAGAGGGUGAGAGCCCCGUACCGACGUGCGCCGAGUCUUUGCAAAGCUCAUUCGAAGAGUCGAGUAGUUUGGAAAUGCUGCUCUAAUUGUGGGGUAAAUCUCCCAUAAGGCUAAAUACUGGCCAGAGACCGAUAGCGCACAAGUAGCGUGAGCGAAAGAUGAAAAGAGCCUUGAACAAGGGCGUCAAAAAGCAUGUGAAAUUGUUAUGGGGGAAGCGCUCAAUGCCAGACGUGGCGACGGUUGGUUACCCGGCGUUCUCGCCGGCGCACUCUGCCGCCGCCAGGCCAGCAUCAGUUCGGUCCGGGGCUUACUUCCGCUCGGAACGUGGCUCUUCGGAGUGUUAUAGCCCUGUGGCGACGCCCUGGGCCGGACUGAGGAACGCGCAUCUGCCCGGAUGCUGGCGUAAUGGCUUUUAGCGACCCGUCUUGAAACACGGACCAAGGAGUUGACCUAGUAUGCGAGUGUUUGGGUGUCAAGCCCUCACGCGCAGUGAAAGCGAACGCAGGUGGGAGCCUCGGCGCACCAUCGACCGAUCCUGAAGUUUACGGAUGGAUUUGAGUAGGAGCAUACUGGGUCUGACCCGAAAGAAGGUGAACUAUGCAUGAAUAGGGUGAAGCCAGAGGAAACUCUGGUGGAGGCUCGCAGCGGUUCUGACGUGCAAAUCGAUCGUCAAAUUUGUGCAUGGGGGCGAAAGACCAAUCGAACCUUCUAGUAGCUGGUUCCUGCCGAAGUUUCCCC